GACGAACGCUGGCGGCGUGCUUAACACAUGCAAGUCGAACGGAAAGGCCCUGCUUUUGUGGGGUGCUCGAGUGGCGAACGGGUGAGUAACACGUGAGUAACCUGCCCUUGACUUUGGGAUAACUUCAGGAAACUGGGGCUCAUACCGGAUAGGAGCUCCUGCUGCAUGGUGGGGGUUGGAAAGUUUCGGCGGUUGGGGAUGGACUCGCGGCUUAUCAGCUUGUUGGUGGGGUAGUGGCUUACCAAGGCUUUGACGGGUAGCCGGCCUGAGAGGGUGACCGGCGACAAUGGGACUGAGAUACGGCCCAGACGCCUACGGGAGGCAGCAGUGGGGAAUAUUGCGCAAUGGGGGGAAGCCUGAUGCAGCAACGCCGCGUGCGGGAUGACGGCCUUCGGGUUGUAAACCGCUUUCGCCUGUGACGAAGCGUGAGUGACGGUAAUGGGUAAAGAAGCACCGGCUAACUACGUG
rnacentral:rRNA from 1 species